UGACGAGCAGCGCGGCCACGUCCUCGCUUUGGGCGAGGGUCCGCGCCAGGGGCGCGAAGCGCUUCAUGCGUUCGAUCUGCAGCUUGUCGC
rnacentral:tRNA from 1 species